UGCCCUGCAGCAAGGUUUUAUGACAGCCAAGUCGAUCGCGUCAUUCUCCUCUAUGACCUCGAUCCUUCAGUUCCGCAAGGCCACUCCCAUGCCCCCCACUGUCCCGUCAGGAUGGCUCACCCUUCCCCCAAUCCCAGCUCAGCCCCCUCCCUCUAGCAGCCUGGUAAACCCAUCCAUCAGGUUUCUGGCCUAAAUGUCACUUCCUCCGUCUACAGGCCCUCCUGAUCCCAAGACAUAACCUAAGGGGCAGAGGUUCUGGCGUGAUUUUCUCAGCAUCGGGAACUUCCUGCACGUAUUAGGUCCCCAAUGUGCAUGUUUCACUUUGCUCAAGAGAAAACUGGAGCACAGGGAGAUCAGAGAGAGGUGGUUCCAACCCUUCCCCCAGCAAAAUGGAGCAGGUGCUGCUAACACGCUGCUCACAUACCCUUGGCACCUGCCGUGCCACCCCCGUCUUCUUGCCCUGGAUUCUCUGUCCGAGGCUGCAGAGAGCAGGCUGGACGCGCUGUGUCCGCCUCAGGGGGAAUCCAGAUUAAGGUCUGCACCAGGCUCACUCACACACAGAGGCCACACGGCGUGGGAGAAGCCGGGCGGCCACAACAGGGUGCGCUCUGUGGAUGGAGAACCCCACUGUCACCCACAGGAGCACGAUCAUGCCGCCCGGCAGCAUCUCAUAGAGGGAUCCGGACCUAAGUCACCCGGGAAAGCCUCCUGGGAAACCGGCGAGGGGGCCCUUUGUGCCCGCCCCAGGCUCACGACAGCAGCUGCUCUCCGCGGAUUCCGUGGCAGGCUGAGUAGUGUCUCCCCCACACAGGGAGAGACUCAAGCGCAGUCAGGCCCCGAGCACCCCUCACUCCUGUAGCUGGGAGCCCGCCUUCCUUGGGGGGCCUGUCAUGCCCUCUGUGCGAGCCUCAGCUGUCUAGGCAGCUAUGGCAGGGGCUGGCCAGCAGAGGGGUGGGUCCAGACCAGGCACCAAGCCUCCGCCCACCACGGGAGCUGCAGACUGGGUUUUACUCAGUCAUCGAAACCUCCCGGCUGCCUUCCUGUCUCUUUUCAAGGCUCGUUCGGCCAUGCUAACCCUUUCCUGCCUACAGCAGAAGAUUCAGUGACUCAGCCAUUGUGCUCUGUUGAUGCCAAAAAGGCAAGAGCCGGGAUGUAGGGCUUCUAAAGCAGCAGCCAGCUCCCACGCCUGUCUGCAGUCGCCGAUACAACUGGAAGUGGACAUCCUGUCAUUACUAAGGUCACGGAUCUUGUGCCCCUCUUUCCUGAUUCAGUGUCUGGCACUGGCAGCAUGAUAGCUUUUCACAGAUUCAGCUGGAACGGCCCUGCGUGGCUGCAGGGCUCCGGGCUGUUCCGUUUAAGAAAUCAACGCUGCAACUUCCCUGGCGGUCCAGGGGCGAACACUCUGUACUCCCAAUGCUGGGGGCCUGGGUUCGAUUCCUUGUAAGGGAACUAGACCCUACAUGCCUCCACUAAGAGUUUGCAUGCCACAACUAUAGAUCCCACAUGCAGCACAGCCAAAUACAUUUAAAAAAACAACACUGAUUAUAAAAAUGAAACUUACUAAAUUCCAUGAAGUCCAUGUGUUCCUCUACUUGCUUAUCCAGUGUCAGCUCAGUCCAACCUGCCCACCAAGGCCAGGAGCAAUCCUGUUCAUUCUAUAGGUACUGACUGAAUACCCUCUCUGAUAAAUGACGCUGGGUUGGGAAACGCACAGAGAAGCCUGGGUAAGAAGGGACCUGCCCUCCCAAGCAUCCCGUCGAGUGAGGGGCAGACCAGUCAGAACCCAGAGCAGCAAGUGCCGAAAAUGUGCCACAGCUUUC